GCCUCUCUACCAUGUCUACUUCGGUGGCAUGAUCUUCUCCUACCUCGUCGCCCUCCCCGAGGAGCGCCGCCACCUCGAGCACCAGCAGCACGCCGCCGCCGCCGGCCACCACUGAUGGCUGCCGCCCACCGAUUCUCCCAGGGUUGAAGAGCUUUCAUUUGGAUGACGAGGAAUGGAUACCUACAUUCAUUUUCUACUUACCUAAACCAAGUUGUUUGUGAUUUAUUUUCAGCUGCAGAAUUGAAACAACAGUAUGUUAUGAUUUUUUUCCCGAAUUUAAUUGUCAUGGACAACUAUACAUCUAUGAUCAUGAUGCAAAAUAUUUUCUGAUUUUUUUUGACAAAAACAGCA